AUUCGUGCAGCGUAUACACAGGAUUUUGAAUACCAGAUAUCAUUUUAUAUGACGUUAGUUAGUUCAAAAAAGAACUGACCAACAUCAAAUAUUAUGAGUUGGAGGGAGUACAUAAUUGCGCCUUUUGGCCUUCAAGAAUUCAGAUCCCGGCCUUAUUUGGUCUCGCAAAACUGUAAAAGUUUAUCGUACUUGCAGUGAUCGGUGCUGCUUAAUGCUUAUGCCAUUCCUAAUCCAACCAUAUGGAGCGUGGACGCACCACAGCAGGCCUGGAAGCAUAGAUGUGGAUUACAGGAUUAGCAGCUGAGCGUUUGAGCAGAGUCCCCGAAGUACGCGCUCACAGUCACACUGUCACACAUCAUUCCUUGCGGACAGACGGCAGUCCAAUCACAUGCGAGAUGUGUGGAGGGGACUGGAUUCUGGGCUCCUGUGGAAGAUAGAUAAGAAAGGAAACUUCCAUCCCACCUCCGGCCCAUUAAACUCCUCUUCCUCUUCUUCUUCCCCGGUCACCUCCCACCCCCGCCACCUCCUCCACCACCCCGGCCGGCGGCUGUCGCGCCGCCCGCUAUCCACCGCCGCCCUUCCUAGCCCGACGCCGCGCAUAACCCCCGCCGCCGGCCACUGCCCACUGGAUAUCUAGCCCUACCCGGCCGGCGGUGCUCCCGCGCCGCCUUGCCCCCGCCACCGGCCGAACCGCCACCACCGCCGGGCCUGCCGCCGCCGCCGACCUCCCUCCUCUAAGGCCGGUGGCCAUUAGAACCCUCGAAACCCGGACCCCCGAACCCUAACCCUAACCCUAACCCUAAGUACCGUCGGCCUCGACCACCGCCCGCUGCCGGCGGCGACCUCACCGCCGAGCCGCCCCGCCCACCUCCCGCCCCUCCGGCGAGCUUUCUCCUCCCAGCUUCCACCUCGGCGGCGGCGCGUCACGAGACAAGCGGCGGCGCGCGAGAGAGAAGCAGCCUGUGAGGAAGAUGGAGAUCGUGCGGCUAGCAGUGGCCGCACGAAUCUCCAACAUCGGAAGACUCAACGUCUUCCACCUUCCAGAAGAUGGAUAGGCUUUCCGCUGGAUUCUGGGCCUCACGUGGAUGGAUCGCAAAACCUGGGCUAGCCCGGUUCGUCGCGCAUCGUGGUAUGGGCUGCGUCACGGACCGAGCUAGAAGGCCGGCACAGCCCAUUCUCUUGGGUCUUGCUGUUUGUUUAGGCCCUCCUUAAAAACAUGUUUAGGUCCUCCAGUUUUUUUUUUUGAAACAUUCUAGGUCCUCCAGUUGGUUUCAGGUUAUCCAUACAUCGUAAAAGCAGUUUGUAACAUUGUACGUGGAGGCUAGGACUAGGGGAGAGAGAGAUGUUGCCUCAUAACUGUAUGGCAUGUGGAUCGUAUCAAUUCAACAUCUGGUUUUUUUCAGAUUGUGGAUUGCUACCAUCUGGAAACUUUUCCUUUCACAAUCUGCAAAGCUGAAACAAACAUUUUGCUUGCUAGUUGCUGCUACUUCCUUUUUCUAAAAACAAGUUGCUUCUACCCCUUCCUUUGUCCCCACAAAAAAAAGGCUGCUGUUACUCCCUCCUCCGUCCCUGGAGUUGCUGGGACAACUAGACUAGCAAGUAACGUCAGUAAAGGACGGGGGAAAAAAAGCUUGUGUCAAGAACUUAACCAAGUCAGAGCUAAUCAGAACCGUGAACUGACGGCGGCUACUAAUCAGUAUGUUACCACGAUGCUUAUCUGUGGCCAAACGUCACCUCACCUGACGGCUCACGCCACGUACAAGAUGACCACGCAUCCAGUGAUCCAAAUCUUGCCCCCAGCGGCAACCUCGCGCAUAAAAAUACCUCGAGAAUGGCCUGCCCAGCAAGCAAGGCAAGGGUGGGUAAACGAACAAAUAAGAGUGCCUGCAACUGCAAAACGCUAGGCGCCCCGUUUCGACGAGUAGCAGUUUCAGAUUCGGCAGCGUGAGCGUGAGCGUGAGCGUCUUACCAGUUACCAGUUACCCUCUCUCAGCAACCGAGCCUGCCGGAGACGCCAGGUCAAGACAAGCGGCACCUCCAAUUCCCCCGUUCCUGACCAGCGACCAUGAUUCACGAGCGGGGCGAGAGGGAGGGAGGAGCUGGUCCCGGGUCCCGGCGGAACCCUUUUGUUUUGCGCCGGCUGGCGUACGCUGGUACUGUACCAGCGCACGGCACUUGAGCGCGGACGCGCGGUGCCUUUGCCCGUGACCACAGUGAAAACUUUAGCAACGUGCCUGUGUCGCUGUGUCGCCUCGGGGCCCCCGCCCGCCUCCUGAG
rnacentral:lncRNA from 1 species